UGAGUUUUCCUUUAGUGUAUGUUGUGCCUGAUCCUUGAACCCAGUAGAUGGUGGUACUACAGCUAUACUGGUUGUAGCCACUGUGGUUCCUGUAACUGAUGGGUUGCUGGUUCAAACUUCCCACAUGUAACCCAGGUGUCCGCCAUGACCCAAUCACCUUCCCUUUAAGUUGAUUGUCAUGUGUGCUUCCGGGUUUUGUUUUUUCUUCCCCACCUUGCUGCUACUCACUGUUGGUUGUUUGUAAAACAACCUGGAGUUUCUGAAUCGACUCAUCACUCAUUUAAUCUCUAAAACUUGAAGAUUGCGGUUGUGAUCCAUUGACAGCUGGUGAACCUUCCUGAUCUGAGCAAGUUAUCAUUGCAUCCACCUCAUCAGAUAAUCCGUUACUCGACGGUCAGGUUUUUCCCCCUUGCAUUGACUUGAUGACGGAAGAUGGCGAGCUACCCACCCACCCUCUGGUGGUAGGAAAACGGAACUACACUUUCCCUACAGAAACGAACUAAACUCUGAGUAUUGAAAAGGGAACAUAAUUAUUCUCUUUGUUCUUGGAUCUAUUGUGGACUUUAUUACGUUUGAAGUAUCAAUGAUUAUUAUUAUAAUUGUUUUUGUUGGUUUGUUUUUUUCCCCUUCUGUUUUUGGAAAUUUAUUGUUUUGUUGUUUUGGUAUUAUUAUUAUUAUUAUUAUUGCCACUGCAAUAAAUAGCAAUAUUAACAAACUUUACUUUUUUGUAUCAGUUGUAUUAAUUAUUCACCCCACUCAUGACUCCGUGCCGUACCUACUUCUGAUUAUACAAACUGGUUAACACUACACCUCGCAGUCAGAUCUGCUCAGUUGAGAAAGGCGCUACACACAUCCAUCUCAGUUGUUGAGUCCUUGAGCAAGGCACCAAACCUGCCUUACCUGCUGUUAGUCAGAAGUCCGAUGGUGCCGAUUGUGUAGCAGCUUCUGUCAGUCUGCCCUAGGGCAGCUGGGCUACAAUGUAGCUUACCACCAUCAACAUGUAAAGCACUUUGGCAUCCUCUGCACUAGAUAAAUCGCUAUACAUGCAUUUACCAUUGACUAUACACUUGCAUUUUGUCUUUUUGUUGUGUUUUGUAUUAAACUUGUCCUGUCUGACAGUGUGACACUCAGCAUUGUCGAGUACCAAGGUUAAGCCCUAAAGACUUGCACAAGUGGACCAUUAUGGCUUCCUCCUGAUAUAAUUACAUGAAACUUUAUUAGAAACUGCUUUGGGUUUAUUUUAUUAAAUUGUAAUGAGACGGAGAAGAAAGCUGGAGAGAAAAGAAAGGUGAGAAAAAAGUUUUAUAGGGGCCCCCUCCUCUCACCCAACUUGAUAUAAAGGUGAUCACAGAGAGGAGGGAGCCAGAGACCAAACCUGACAGACAGACCAGGCACACAGAGACAAGAUCACAUGUUCCCAUUCUCAUGUGUACACCCAGACAUUCAAACCCAUGUAGACAAUGUCAAAAUAAACAAAACAAAAAUGGACGCCAUACACCCACUUGCAUUUCUCAUACACAGAGAUCCAACCAGAACCAGGACCACCAGCUUAGGAAUCAUUCAAACCAAACCCCUAUCCCAAGUCACAAAGCCAGCCUGCCAACCAAAGGAUUCACCUAGUCCCAAUGAAGAAGAUCCAGCAGACAUACAGGGCACCGGGUU